rnacentral:rRNA from 1 species
AAACCGCUUUUAGCCGGGAAGAAAAGGCGCGAGUUAAUACCUUGCGUUUUUGACGGUACCGGCGGAAUAAGCACCGGCUAACUACGUGCCAGCAGCCGCGGUAAUACGUAGGGUGCGAGCGUUAAUCGGAAUUACUGGGCGUAAAGCGUACGCAGGCGGUUCGUUGUGUCGGUGGUGAAAUCCCCGGGCUUAACCUGGGAAUGGCCAUGGAAACUGGCGAACUGGAGUGCGGCAGAGGGGGGUGGAAUUCCGCGUGUAGCAGUGAAAUGCGUAGAGAUGCGGAGGAACACCGAUGGCGAAGGCAGCCCCCUGGGCUAGCACUGACGCUCAGGCACGAAAGCGUGGGGAGCAAACAGGAUUAGAUACCCUGGUAGUCCACGCCCUAAACCAUGUCAACUGGGUGUUCGGGAAGCGAUUUCUGAGUACCGUAGCUAACGCGUGAAGUUGACCGCCUGGGGAGUACGGCCGCAAGGUUAAAACUCAAAGGAAUUGACGG